CGGGAAAUGGCUCAGUUUGGUAGAGCGCUGCGUUCGGGACGCAGAGGCUGCAAGUUCAAAUCUUGUUUUCCCGA
rnacentral:tRNA from 1 species